UACGUAGGGACCAAGCGUUGUCCGGAAUCAUUGGGCGUAAAGAGCGUGUAGGCGGCUUGUUAAGUCUUGCGUGAAAUCUCGGGGCUCAACCCCGAGCGGUCGUGAGAGACUGGCAGGCUAGAGUGCGGGAGAGGAGAGUGGAAUUCCUGGUGUAGCGGUGAAAUGCGCAGAUAUCAGGAAGAACACCCGUGGCGAAGGCGGCUCUCUGGAACGCAACUGACGCUGAGACGCGAAAGCGUGGGGAGCAAACAGG
rnacentral:rRNA from 1 species